GAUGAAGAACGUAGCGAAAUGCGAUAAGUAAUGUGAAUUGCAGAAUUCAGUGAAUCAUCGAAUCUUUGAACGCACAUUGCGCCCGUCAGUAUUCUGGCGGGCAUGCCUGUUCGAGCGUCAUUACGCCCCUCAAGUCCCCUGUGGACUUGGUGUUGGGGAUCGGCGAGGCUGGUUUCCAGCACAGCCGUCCCUUAAAUUAAUUGGCGGUCUCGCCGUGGCCCUCCUCUGCGCAGUAGUAAAACACUCGCAACAGGAGCCCGGCGCGGUCCACUGCCGUAAAACCCCCCAACUUUUUAUAGUUGACCUCGAAUCAGGUAGGACUACCCGCUGAACUUAAGCAUAUCAAUAAGCGGAGGA
rnacentral:misc_RNA from 1 species